GCUGGGCGGACGCGGGAGGCCGGGGAAGGAGAGGCGAAAAACACGCCCUUGAUGGAUGAGAGGGACAGGGGAUAGCUUUUGUGGAUCGAGACUCAAUAGGGGAGGGAGACUAUGGAAAUGAUUCCUUAGCUGAUUUGUGGAUCUUGGCCCUCUCUGUGUACAGAACUCGCUCCACUGGGGUUCCUGGGACAUUGAGUAGUUGGGGCACUGUUUCAAACAUGACAAGGCCAUUCCCCACUCAGUGUGCGAAGAAUGCACAUUGUUAGAAGGCUCCUCCUGUGAUUUUUAUGUUCGUCCAUCUUGGCGGAACCCCUCCCUUUCUUGAAGAUGGAACGGUAGAUACCUGUAAUUUCGGGUAGAAGCCAUGUAGGGUCCAUCAGUUUGAUUCGUAACCCAAAUUUAAGAUUGAGUAGCGAGAAGGAAAGGGCAUGUAAAUGACCCUCUCCUUGCCCCGCAAACGACUAAGGAAAUUUAAAGAAUUUAUUUACAACUAGAGGUUGCUAAGCAAUGACGAUAAUCAUAUAGAACCCAGAAGCAUCACUGUGAAGACUUCACAAUGCAAGGUCAGACGCAUUAGAAGGGAUUCCAGACCGCAAUCUUCAUACCAGUUCCUGCUACUAGCAUUCAGUUUUGGUUUCGCCCUGUUGCCAUGCUGGCCCUGAACUCCAAGGCUCAAGGAAUCCCAACCCCUCUCCGCCUCCACCUCCCAAAGAAGUGCUGAGAUUACAGGUGUGAGCCACCACGACCGGCCUACACUGAGCUUUAAAUUAGCUACUGCUCACUAAAGUCUCCAUGAAGAAGACGUCACCCUUUGCUGUGUCAGAGAAAUGUAGUAAAAGCGAGUAAGUAUUUAAUCACUGCACACUGCUGCUUGAGUAAUAAAGCAUGUAUAAAAGA